rnacentral:rRNA from 1 species
GACGUAGGGGGCGAGCGUUGUCCGGAAUUACUGGGCGUAAAGAGCACGUAGGCGGAUAAAACAGUCAGAUGUGAAAGACCGGGGCUCAACCCCGGGUUGGCAUUUGAAACAUUUUAUCUUGAGGGCAGGAGAGGAAAGCGGAAUUCCUGGUGUAGCGGUGAAAUGCGUAGAAAUCAGGAGGAACACCGGUGGCGAAGGCGGCUUUCUGGACUGACCCUGACGCUGAGGUGCGAAAGCGUGGGGAG